AGAGAGGAAAGGAAGCUCUCUAGAGAGACAACAAGCAGCCAACUUAGAAGACACAAAGAGCUCAUUGGAUUGUCCGGCUAAAACUACUGUAGAGUGGCAGCAUCAAACCCAGGACUGGAUAAACUCUACAGAGCGCCAAGAAGAAACACGGAAAGCCCCACACAAACCAGGGGUUGGAUCAGAGGAGUCCCUGGUGCCCUACAGCAAGCCCAGCUUCCCAUCUCCAGGCGGGCACAGCUCAUCCGGAACAGCCUCCUCUAAAGGGUCCACUGGUCCUCGGAAGGCUGAGAUUCUGAGGGGCAGCCACCAGCGGAAUGCCAAUGACCUUCUCGACAUUGGAUAUGUGGGCUCAAAUAGUCAAGGGCAGUUUACAGAGUAACUGAGAGGAGACAUACAAAGACGCUCUGAGGACCAUCAGGUCCAAACUCAUGGAAGUGAUGACAUUUAACAGUGCAAUGAACAAUUUCUUUAUUUAUGUACUAUUAAAAAAUACUGUAAAUGCAAUGUAAAGACACAGCCACACAUAUCCCACAGUUCUUUUCUUGUGUCCUUCUCUUACUUACACCACCCACCUUAACUCUUUCUUGUCAGGAGUAUAUAAGAAAAAGAAAGAAA
rnacentral:lncRNA from 1 species